GUAACGGGUGCGAUCGGUGAACUAUUAUCAUAUCAUUUCUAUCCUCAAAGGCUUUCCUGUCUCCUAGGAGACAAGCAUGUAAAUAAGUGAUUCUACAUCACAGAGGGAAAUAAGCAGAGGUCCAGAAACAGGGCUACCCACCAAUCGCGUGGUGACAGAGGAGAGAGGGUCCUAAGGACAGAUGAGGAUGUUCUUGAUUUUGUACUCCAAGUAAAUGUAUUUAAGAAUGGUUACCCCAACCUCUGAGAAAUCUGAAAGUGGCAGCUGGAAAUGCCAGGAGAACACAUGGCAACACUGAAUUGACAGAGUUCAAACACCAAAGGGGCAUUUGAGAACUGGAGCUGCCCGAUGGCAAGAGGGCACUUGUAUCAGAAGCUUCACUGCACAGGCCUACAAUAAAUGGUGCCUUGACAUCAAAUGAGUUGGUUGGCUAGUUCCUUCCCCAUGAAAUUGUUAUUUUAAACCCCAAACUACCUGGCAUAAUUUCCAGUCUGCUGACUGAAAAUCAGAAUGGAGCAUAACUAUUUUCCUUGCAGAAAAAGGCUGCCCAGGGAUGUACUGGAGAUGAUCAGGAGAGACAUGCUUUUCUCCUUCAAACCUUUUGCCUGCUUUGUAUUUCCAGUUUUCACAGCCCACCUUUUUCAGAGACCACACACAGAGACUACACUGAUUGGAAUCAAGUUUAAAGGCAUGGCUUACAUUCAGGGGCUUAUUUAAAACAAAGGCUCAAAUGUCCCGUCACCAGGUCUCAAUCUGAACCAACUUCCAGAUUAUAGAUGAACGUAGUCUUCACUGUGCUACCUGCUCUGAAUAUAUCCAUGCAGUUUCAUUCAAUUUUUCUGGAGGAGACCGAUCAGCAAUUUUCAUAAGAUGGGGGCGAGUAGUAGCGUGAAUGAACCCUGUCUAAAGCAUGUGGAAGACGAGGAGGAACGCAAAGCCCUUAACAUCGAAGCUAUAGGACAAACUGGCUGUAUACUUUGCUUGAAGAAUUAUGAAUCAUGAUAAAAGUAACCUGUAAUGCCCCUAGAAAUAGGGCUCUUGUUUAAUCUCUGCUUAAACAUUGACUAAAGACACAAUGGCCACAUCUAGCAAUGUGAUUCUGGAGACAGUGCUGCGGUCUGCAACGGGACAUGAAUGGCCAAGCCAAGCUUGCAAACAUGGGAUGCUGUGCGUGGGGACAGACCUAUGGAGUCUUGCUCUGUUACUCAGGCUGGAGUGCAG
rnacentral:lncRNA from 1 species